CUGGGUCAUGUACCUGCUGUCGCCUGCUGGUGUUCCCAAUAGCGUGGCCGUGGCCGAGACUCAGCGUCUCAACGCCGUGUUGAUCGACGUCCACCGUCGCCUCUCCCAGGUUCGCCGCUCCGACAUUCUCACAGAACUUCCUGCCGUCACCUACCCUGGUACCGCUCUCGCCACCGUCCCGGGCUCUGCUGGCACCUCGCGUGCUUUCAGCGCG
rnacentral:lncRNA from 1 species